GCUCCGGUGGCCUAAUGGUUAGAGCGUCCGCCUUGGAUGCGGGAGGUCGUGGGUUCGAUCCCCGGUCGAGUCA